rnacentral:rRNA from 1 species
UACGGGGGGGGCAAGCGUUGUUCGGAAUUACUGGGCGUAAAGGGCUCGUAGGCGGCCAACUAAGUCAGACGUGAAAUCCCUCGGCUUAACCGGGGAACUGCGUCUGAUACUGGAUGGCUUGAGUGUGGGAGAGGGAUGCGGAAUUCCAGGUGUAGCGGUGAAAUGCGUAGAUAUCUGGAGGAACACCGGUGGCGAAGGCGGCAUCCUGGACCAUUACUGACGCUGAGUGCGCGAAAGCCAGGGGAGCAAACGGG